ACAUAACUGAGGGGGUUACAAAAGCCAUUUUCGUAACGGACUAUAUAGCCCUCGCGUCGGCUGAGGGAAUGAAUCUGUGGAACACAUUGACUGUAGAACAUUAGAACUAGUGCAUUGAUGAAUACUUAUCCCCGACAAGUGUUUUUAGUACACGUGAAAGUAUUAGUCUGUGAUUAUGUGACAAUUAGGAUUCCAACACGUAUCGACAUCUGAACGGGUACACCCAUAAUUCAUUCAUGAUUUGCGUGUUUUCUCAUUCUGUUCCUUUUGUUUUUAGCAUACACAGUUGAAUUUUUGUUACAAGUUCACAUAAUAUAUCGAAACUGACAAGACAUAUCGGAAACCUAUUAAUGUUUAAGUAGCAUCUAAACUCCAAAUAUUUGUUUAGCAAAAAAAAAACUCCAAAUAUGUGUUUUGAGAAAUUUCUGCUUCUCAGGAGUUUGCUUAGUCCUAGUAAUAGUAUCAUGCACAAGUCAGUCAGCCAAUCCUAUUGUGACACAUGGAAAAUAGUUUUUUUAAAUUCAAUAAAAGUUAAUUAAUCAUCAACAUAAUAAUUAAAAUUUAAAUUCAUUACAAAAUCAAAUAACUGUAUAAAAUAACUAUCUCUAUAAAGAAUUCUUUCACGUUCCCUAUUCUCAUGGCAUGAUUUCAAAUUAAUUAUCCUCAGAAAAAAUCAAAUAAUUAACCUUCUUUCUUUUUCUAUCUUCUCCGAAUCUCUCUGUUUUCAUCAUCUUUUGUAAUCUUUCUCUUAAUCUCCAAUUGUUUCGUUUUUUUUUUGGUUGAGUGUAGCAUCAAGACUCGACAUAGCUUUAUGCUUUCUUUUUUCAGUCAAAGUUAUCUUUCUCUACUUCUCAGAGUAAUACUACUAUUAUUUUUGUAUGAUUGUGUUUGGUUUAGUCGUUAAAAAAAGGGUUUGAUUCUGUCUGAAGUGUUUCUUAUGGAUUAUUUAAAAUAAGAGGAAUGAGCAACAACACUGCACAAAUAUAUCUAAAAAUCAGACUACGGAAUACUAAAGGUAAAUAUUUAACACAUCUCUUUUUGUUUACAUGGAAAGUUCUAAUCUUAUUGUUAACUUUUUUAAUGUUAUCAAGUUGGGUGAACUUUUCAGUUUAUCAUGGAUAUAUGACAAAGUAAAACUAACUAACCUUGCCAUUGAUAAACGUGAAGAUGGCAUAUUGUGAUGUUGUGUGUGACGAGAUUAAGGUAAUAUGGUAAAAUAGAGGUAGUUUAGUUUAUUAUUGCUAUUAGCUUUUCUAGAUAUAUUUACUAUCCACAAUUUCUAGAAUUGUUACGCAGUACGUGCUCAAACACUAGUAUAUUACUAAAAAGUUAGAUUCUAGUCGGCUUGUUUCAUGAAGGUAUGCGUUGAAUUUUCUUUAUAUAAAAUCCAACACCAACCGGGGACUUGAAUAAUUUCAAAAGUAUGUGAGACACAAAAGAUUCUAUAAUAAAUAUCCUUGACGAUGGUGCCAAGGGAAAAAAAUAAUAUCAAUUACUAUUCAUCGCAACUUGCAAGAUCUUGUCGAUCAGAACAUAAUGCUCUGAAGAUUUUUCAAAAUCAUUAUCUACAACAGCAACAUGAGUCUCUAUAUACAUACAAAUAUAUAGUGUAUGUAUUCAGUGAUGCAUUGCUGCACGAUUCUACUCCACAGGACCAAAGCAAGAUUCACAGUUUCACAUGACGAUUCAUAUAUAUCUAGUAUCUACAUUGUUGUAUGUAAGGUUAUCCGGAAAGGAGAAAAACGACUGCAAAUCGUAUAGUAUACAAAACUAUGUGGUAUUUUGGUAUGUAAUGUUUGUAAAUGUAUCCAUUUGACGUUCCAUUCCUAUUUAUGUGCAUUAAAAAUGGUUUAGAUGACAAUUUUGUAAGAUAAUAUCUUAUACAAUAAAGUUGUCUUGUCUCUCUCCUCUUUGCGUCACAUCCUCAACUAGCAUGGGACAAAUCUGGACACGUGGCUUACACUGAAAAAUCAUAUGAACUUUUUUUUCGUGGAGUAUCUUUAAUUUGGGCUAAGUGUUUAGGUUUGACUAAUGUGAUGGGUUCUAAUUGUCUUUUAGAAAGCCCGAAUUUAAUUAGGAUUUGCUUCAUCUUCGCUGAUGGAGCUGCAGGCUGUGUCACCGUGUCUCUUCACAUCUCACCGUCUCUGGCCUUCAUCUCUGUAACGGCUUCAAUUAUUGUCACUCAGAUACAUUAAUCCAAGCUUUUAGGCCUUUUGCACCACUACUCCCACUCUCUCGAAAUAAAUGGGCAUUAGCAUCCUCCAGCGUAACCGACUCAAGCUUCACUUAUAAAUGCCUUCGUUGCUUGCGAGGAACUGUUACACUGAAACGAAAUCCCAAGGGCGACUCUCUGCGAUGAACUAUGAGCUACUGUCUUGCAUCAUUUAGCUGUAAGAGGUCUGAUUUUAACUAAUAUUGUUGCUUAUUUUAUUUAGCUUUCUAAGAUCAGAAAGUGUUCUGUUUUGCUUAUCAUUUGGGGAAAUCGAGUUGCUAAAGGAGUUCCUGUUGAUUCUCAAAACGAUUCUGGCACACCAUGGAUUUGGGCUGCUGGCCAUGACCAAAACGAUGCAGAGCCAGUCUUAUUAGAACACAAUGCCGAUCCUAACGUUGAGACCGGAUAAUGUCACGCCAUUGUUAUGAGCAGUGACGGCUGGUUCUGUGGCAUGCUUAGAGCUGUUGGUCAAGCUAUUUGAUGAGGCAGCCAAUGCUUUUUACGGAGUAAAGCAGAGAGAUCAUUGAUGGGUUCAGAGAAGCUGUAGAUGCUCCAAGGAAGUUUCACGGAAAGGACAAGAUUAAGGUCAAACCAAAAGAUCUUUUAGAGAUGGCUCUGUUUAGUAUAUGCAUGAAGUUUUGAUUUUACUUCUUACCUUGGUCUCUUCCCGAUGCAGUUGUUGCAUAUCUUACUUAAAUGUACUAAAAUCUUCAGGCAUAGAGUUUGGUUUGGCUAUGAUUUUUUCAUCGUAUUCAGAUUGUCA